AAGUCGUAACAAGGUUUCCGUAGGUGAACCUGCGGAAGGAUCAUUACCAAAUCCAAAUUCUCAACCCCUUGUGAACUAUUGUUUAGUCUGUCUUUGGGGAAAAAAAUGGUGUUUUUUCAUGAGAUCCUCUUUUUUUUCCCAAAUGAAUCCGGCACAUUGCAAUUUUUGUUGCAUGUACUUUGUGUGAUUCAAAACCUUAAAAACUACUUUUUUUGUUGGAAUUUUUAAAUAAAUUAUUAAUAAAAAAAACAACUUUUAACGGCGGAUCUCUUGGCUCGU
rnacentral:misc_RNA from 1 species